rnacentral:rRNA from 1 species
CAGUAGCCGCGGUAAUACGUAGGUCCCGAGCGUUGUCCGGAUUUAUUGGGCGUAAAGCGAGCGCAGGCGGUUAGAUAAGUCUGAAGUUAAAGGCUGUGGCUUAACCAUAGUACGCUUUGGAAACUGUUUAACUUGAGUGCAAGAGGGGAGAGUGGAAUUCCAUGUGUAGCGGUGAAAUGCGUAGAUAUAUGUAGGAACACCGGUGGCGAAAGCGGCUCUCUGGCUUGUAACUGACGCUGAGGCUCGAAAGCGUGGGGAGCAAACAGGAUUAGAUACCCCAGUAGUCCCUGUCUCUUAUACA